CGAAGGGGGCUAGCGUUGCUCGGAAUUACUGGGCGUAAAGGGAGCGUAGGCGGAUAUUUAAGUCGGGGGUGAAAGCCCAGGGCUCAACCCUGGAACUGCCUUCGAUACUGGAUAUCUAGAGUAUGGGGAGAGGUGUGUGGAACUCCGAGUGUAGAGGUGAAAUUCGUAGAUAUUCGGAAGAACACCAGUGGCGAAGGCGACACACUGGCCCAUUACUGACGCUGAGGCUCGAAAGCGUGGGGAGCAAACAGGAUUAGAUACCCUGGUAGUCCACGCUGUAAACGAUGAGUGCUAGUUGUCGGCAUGCAUGCAUGUCGGUGACGCAGCUAACGCAUUAAGCACUCCGCCUGGGGAGUACGGUCGCAAGAUUA
rnacentral:rRNA from 1 species